AUACGGAGGGGGCUAGCGUUGUUCGGAAUUACUGGGCGUAAAGCGCGCGUAGGCGGUUUGCCAAGUCAGGCGUGAAAUCCCCGGGCUCAACCUGGGAACUGCGUUUGAAACUGGCAGACUAGAGGCCGGGAGAGGGUAGUGGAAUUCCCAGUGUAGAGGUGAAAUUCGUAGAUAUUGGGAAGAACACCGGUGGCGAAGGCGGCUACCUGGACCGGUUCUGACGCUGAGGUGCGAAAGCGUGGGGAGCAAACAGGAUUAGAUACCCCAGUAGUCC
rnacentral:rRNA from 1 species